AAAAAACUCGAUGGUUGCCAUCCAAAAAGACCGUAAUGUGCCACGGCUGGUUGACGUCAAUCUUCGCCAGAUGAUGCACCGUAACUCACCGGACGCGAUUUCUUCUUCUGUUGCUUUCCCUUCCCAAAACAGUGGGGUUUUAGUCUGUCUCAUUAUUUUAUUAUGUAAUAUUAUUUUAUUUUAUUUUCAUUUUUUUUUCCCUCUCAGUCUAUUUCUCCUCUCACCACUUUCUACUGUUUUUCUCUCCUAAAAAAAGACUCGCUCUCUCUCUCUCUCUCAU
rnacentral:misc_RNA from 1 species